rnacentral:rRNA from 1 species
UUCCUACGGGAGGCAGCAGUGGGGAAUAUUGCACAAUGGGCGAAAGCCUGAUGCAGCGACGCCGCGUGAGGGAUGACGGCCUUCGGGUUGUAAACCUCUUUCGACAAGGAAGAAGCCUUCGGGUGACGGUACUUGUAGAAGAAGCGCCGGCUAACUACGUGCCAGCAGCCGCGGUAAUACGUAGGGCGCAAGCGUUGUCCGGAAUUAUUGGGCGUAAAGAGCUCGUAGGCGGUCUGUCACGUCUGGUGUGAAAACCCGAGGCUCAACCUCGGGCUGGCAUCGGGUACGGGCAGGCUGGAGUGCGGUAGGGGAGACCGGAAUUCCUGGUGUAGCGGUGGAAUGCGCAGAUAUCAGGAGGAACACCGAUGGCGAAGGCAGGUCUCUGGGCCGUUACUGACGCUGAGGAGCGAAAUGAAUUUAUUUUAC